GUGGGGAAUCUUCCACAAUGGACGAAAGUCUGAUGGAGCAACGCCGCGUGAGUGAAGAAGGGUUUCGGCUCGUAAAGCUCUGUUGUCGGGGACGAAUGUGCAGUAUUUGAAUAAAGUAGUGCAAUGACGGUACCUGACGAGGAAGCCACGGCUAACUACGUGCCAGCAGCCGCGGUAAUACGUAGGUGGCAAGCGUUGUCCGGAAUUAUUGGGCGUAAAGGAAGCGCAGGCGGGAAGGUAAGUCGGUCUUAAAAGUGCGGGGCUCAACCCCGUGAUGGGAUCGAAACUAUCUUUCUUGAGUGCAGGAGAGGAAAGUGGAAUUCCUAGUGUAGCGGUGAAAUGCGUAGAUAUUAGGAGGAACACCGGUGGCGAAGGCGGCUUACUGGACUGUAACAGACACUGAGGCUCGAAAGCGUGGGGAGCAAACAGGAUUAGAUACCCCUGUAGUCC
rnacentral:rRNA from 1 species